rnacentral:rRNA from 1 species
GGCUUAGAGUUUGAUCAUGGCUCAGGAUAAACGCUGGCGGCGCACAUAAGACAUGCAAGUCGAACGGACCUAAUCGAUUCUUUUGGAUUCGAAGCGGUUAGUGGCGGACUGGUGAGUAACACGUAAGCAACCUGCCUGUUAGAGGGGAAUAACAGUGAGAAAUCACUGCUAAAACCGCAUAUGCCGUGAACAUCGCAUGAUGAAAACGGGAAAAGAGCAAUCUGCUAAUAGAUGGGCUUGCGUCUGAUUAGCUAGUUGGUGUGGUAAAGGCAUACCAAGGCAACGAUCAGUAGCCGGACUGAGAGGUUGAACGGCCACAUUGGGACUGAGAUACGGCCCAGACUCCUACGGGAGGCAGCAGUCGGGAAUAUUGCGCAAUGGAGGAAACUCUGACGCAGUGACGCCGCGUAUGGGAAGAAGGUUUUCGGAUUGUAAACCAUUUUAGACAAGGAAGAAACAAGACAGUACUUGUAGAAUAAGCUCCGGCUAACUACGUGCCAGCAGCCGCGGUAAUACGUAGGGAGCAAGCGUUAUCCGGAUUUAUUGGGUGUAAAGGGUGCGUAGACGGGAAGGUAAGUUAGUUGUGAAAUCCCUCGGCUCAACUGAGGAACUGCGACUAAAACUGCUUUUCUUGAGUGCUGGAGAGGAAAGUG